rnacentral:lncRNA from 1 species
UUUUUUUUUUUUUUUUUUUUUUUAACCUUUAAAAAAAUAAAGAGAGAAAAAGAAUAGCUUUAAAGGGGGGAAAAACUGAUCCCAGCGUGUUAACAACUCCAUCGCGGUUUCAGGCUGCGGUCAUGCCAACUGUCUAGUAAAAAGAGAAAUUCCACUGUAGCAGAAGUAAUAAAAUCUUCUUUUAAAGCACAAAUACCAUGCAUCGAGGAAACGUAAACCCUUGCCCUGGGACGAGGAAGAUGGGGGUGGUACCCAGGAAAAUAUGGACUGGAGUACUGGGGAUUCGCGGUCAACGCAUCGCUUUGAAGACUCUUUCACCAAAAGCAGCUGUUUCCCUGACCCAGGACCUUCUCUUCCUCUUAAUCCAUCACCCAGAGGGCUGUAGAAAGAUGCAAGCUAUUAUCUGAAGCUAUCUUCAUUGUUAUUCAUAUGACAAAAUAUUUAUCACCCACUCUGCUUUUUCAAAGAGGCUCAUCUCUGAGAGGGAUAGCUGGGAGAGUCCCAUGAGCAAGGCGGCAGCUUAGGGCAAGCCCAGUGUGACUGCCCUGGGAGAGGCAGGAGGGGACGGAGGAGAAGAAACUUCUACUUCAUAGUCACCAAACCACUAUCAUCCAUCCCCAAACCAGAGCGCCGAGAGCACUUAACCAGAGUCUCCUAUCUGGAUUUCUAGAUCUCAUAAUUGACAAAUAAUUGACUUGCCUUAAAAUCAGGGUCAAAGCUCCCCCAAUUACCACCCUCGGUGAUGAACACACUGGGCCACUGUUCCCCAGGCAGCCUGGAGGAAUCCUGUCCGCCCCACAGGCCCCCACUCAGUUACUCCAACAAAAGGCAGCAGUUGAAUGCAGAGAAAAAGUCAAGUGAAAAGAGCUGGGAUCCUGUGACACGAGGCAUUCAGCAGCCAGAUUGCUUUCACACAGUCACUAAAUAUCUCUGAUGAUGGCCAGACUUAGACAGAGGUAGGGGGUAGGGUGGGGGUGGGGUGGGGUGGGGGGCGGGGAAUCCAUUUGCCAGGUACCGCUUUGACGCCAGCACGCUGGAGGCAGACGGCAGGGCCAAAUUCCUAUUUCCCGAUUCAGGCUCUUCCUGACAACACCCACAUCCCCGAUGCACCACAGCAGAAUCCUGGGGAAAGAGCAGGCCGAACAAGAAGGGAUCUCUAACAGUCUCUCCCCCCUGAUGGACCUACCCUCUCCCCUCUCCCGAAAAUUCCACCGGCGGGGAAGGAGGGGCAGCUCCUGCGGAAGCAAAAUGCAGCUACAGCAGCAGCAGCAGCGGUGGCAGCAGCCCCGAGCCGCCUGCUUCACACGGGAAUGAAUUAAACGCCCAGAUACAAAGACGUGUAUUUCAAGUCAUCUGGUCUUUCCUUCCAGCCCUCCCACCGCACGGGCUGUAUGUAAACAUUACAAUUUCCCCCCCUCACCACUUUGGAUUUAAUUGUAUUCCUAAUUGAAAAUGAAAAUUAAUUUGCUUUUGAUCAAUUCCAGGUGGCAGAUCAGCCGGCAAUGGUAGCAGAGCGGCUUUUUUUUUUUUUUUUUUCUUUUUUUUUUUCUCUCCCGCUCCGAGUGACCACAUGCACGUGCCCAUCAACGCCGGCCUGCGCAAACAGGCGGCGGCCUCUUUUUGCCCAAGAUCUUCUCGUGUCUCCCCUCCCUCGGCUGAUUG